rnacentral:rRNA from 1 species
GACGUAGGAUGCAAGCAUUGUCCGGAUUUAUUGGGCGUAAAGAGUUCGUAGGCGGUUUGUUAAGUCUGGUGUUAAAUACCGAGGCCCAACCUCGGAUCUGCAUCGGAUACUGGCAGACUGGAGUAUGGUAGAGGUAAGUGGAAUUUCUGGUGGAGCGGUGAAAUGCGUAGAUAUCAGGAAGAACACCGGUGGCGUAGGC